ACUUAACUCCUCAUUGACUAAAAUGAUCUAAUGCUGAAUGUAUAUUUAUCAUAUUAUAAUAAAUUUUUUUCAUUUGUUCAGAGUAUAGAAUUGCCAGCAAAUAAUCUCUGUGUAAUUGAAACAGAAUGGUGAUAACAAAUACCAACAAAUUUUAGAAACAGAGAAUUGCCCCUGAAAGCAAGCUCUUGUCUGGAACACACCUUACUAGAGAACUCCAUUUCAGAAUUCUCUUCAGAUGCAUGUGUGCUUUGUUGAUCUAAGGUACCUAAAGUAGCAUUAUCUCCUUGACCCAGAAAGCCAACUAAAAGACAGUGUUAGUUAUAAUUUCAUAUUUGCCCUUUGGAAUAAGGAGUCAAAGCCUCCCCAAUUACUCUAAGUACCAGUUUGGCCAGCACUGUUACACCAAAGGGGGAAAAAUACAAUAAUAUAGUAUUUUCAUGUCAUUCAAUAUUGCUGCAAAAUAUAUUAAAUAUUCUAAAUGUGCUAUUUACAAGCUACUUUAAAAAUUUACAGUUUUCCUCAGUUUAUGUUCAAAUCAUUUUUCAGAAGAUUAACUUCACAGAAUCCUCCAGGGGCUCCUUUAGAAGUUUAAAAACACUUACUCCAGAAGGGCUGCUUAAAACGGUCCUCAAAUUCCAGGCUCCAAUAGUAAAUGAGUUUACAUCAGCCCACAUUGAACCUUUUCACACAGCCUACUUUCUUAUAGUUACACAUAUUUCUGCUUCAUCAGAAAAAGAAAACAACCUGCAUUAAUUAAGCUAUAAUGAAUGGCAAGGUACUACAGUACAGAAAGCCACAGAGCAGGCCCUGAUUCCUUCGGGAGAAAAGAUUCAGAAAGAGAUUGCCUUCAAUUGGCCAAGGUAUCUGUUAACAGUCUCAUAAAAUAAAGUCUGCAGCUUUUUUGUUUUUCUCAAGAUUAGGGUCUUUUCGGUUUACAUUUGGUUGGUGCUCAAGCUUCCUCAAAUAUCAUUUGUGUUUUAAAUUAUGUUAUUUCUAUUUAGGCAAAUAUAUUCUGGGUGUGGAGAUAAGGAGACAAAUAGUACCAUGGACUCUUUUCCAUCUUAAAUUACUGUAUUUGCUCUUUUCUCCCUUAUUCUUUGUUUGCCUCCUUCCCUCCCUUUUUUCUUUCUUUUUUUCUUUGUUUCCUUCCUUCCUUCCUUUAUCUAUGCAUUAUAAUUUCAUUUACUCUAAAAUCUGUUCAUCUAUUCCAUGUUACUUCAGUGAUGCAGUCAACCUAAAGUUUCCUUUGGAAAUCAAUUUGAAAUCUGCUUUGCAAUUUUACAGCAUUAGUGUUCCAAAGGGGGGAAAAUAUAACUUUUUUAGGUGCAACAGAGACAGUUUAAGGACGAAAUCACACUGGGCAUUGCUGGACAGGGAACCGUGCAAGGACCUUAAGAAUAUCCUAUUUGAUCAUUUCAAGUAAAAGCCCAUUUUUGCCCCUAAGUGUAUGGUUUAUACAGGGCUUCAUAAUUGCUCAUCUAGUCUCAGGGUCAUCUCCGUGAAGAUGGAACAGGAUGAGAUCCAGUUCAGAGUUGGUAUUUGAGAUCGGAAGAGGUC